CCUACGGGACGCUGCAGUGGGGAAUAUUGGACAAUGGGCGAAAGCCUGAUCCAGCCAUGCCGCGUGUGUGAGGAAGGCCUUCGGGUUGUAAAGCACUUUCAGUGGGGAAGAAAGCCUUGGGGCUAAUACCCUCGAGGAAGGACAUCACCCACAGAAGAAGCACCGGCUAACUCCGUGCCAGCAGCCGCGGUAAUACGGAGGGUGCGAGCGUUAAUCGGAAUUACUGGGCGUAAAGCGCGCGUAGGCGGUCUGAUAAGCCGGUUGUGGAAGCCCCGGGCUCAACCUGGGAACGGCAUCCGGAACUGUCAGGCUAGAGUGCAGGAGAGGAAGGUAGAAUUCCCGGUGUAGCGGUGAAAUGCGUAGAGAUCGGGAGGAAUACCAGUGGCGAAGGCGGCCUUCUGGACUGACACUGACGCUGAGGUGCGAAAGCGUGGGUAGCAAACAGGAUUAGAUACCCUUGUAGUC
rnacentral:rRNA from 1 species